CUCCUGUAGCUGCCCCGCUUUGUGCUCUGCUUCCUCAGCACCGGUUAUACGAGAACCUUUGGAAACGAGACAAAAUCACAGCAGGAAGAAAUCCUCGCAGGGCUCUGCUGGGAAAAGACAUUCUCCUGCGUUGCCAGCGAGCCCGGCCGCGGGCAGGAUGAUGAGAACAGCAGCAGGAGGUUUAUCCUUGAGAAGUGAAGGGUUUAGAGGGAUCUAAAGCAGCCAUGCAGUACCUGUGAGGAGGUGUUCGAGAAGGCAGCCAGACUCUUCAGAGCAGUGUCUGGUGAGAGGAAGAGAGACAACAGGGAUGAGGUAAGUUAAGAGAAGCUCAGAGUGGUGAUAAAGACACACCUUUUUCCAGGAAGGCAGCCAGUCAUCAGCAGCUUGCCCAGGAACGCUGCACUGUCCCAUCCUCUGAGGUUUUCAAGCCCUGCUGGACAAUGAGAUCUUGCAGCUGACCCUGCUUGGAGCAGAAAGUUAACUAGAGACCUCCUGAGGUCCCCUCUGAGCUGGGAAAUUCUGCCACUUUAUGUUGAGGUCAGCAUUCCAGGACUGCUCCACCUGCUCACACAAUGAACUGCAAAGCAGUUUUUGGGUUCCUGAAGGCUGGAGGAAGGUGGCUGAACCAUGUCUAAGGCCAUGGAUCACCAGGCACUGGCUUCACAGAGCCAUAAAAUAAAAUCCUGGAAUGGUUGGGGUUGGAAGGGACCUUAAAGCUCUUCUCAUUCCAUGCCCUGCCGUGGGCAGGGACACCUUCCACUGGCCCAGGCUGCUCAGAGCUCCCCUGUUCUGCACUAGGACCUGGGGUUUGACAGAGCCCACAGCCCAUCCAUGGCAUCUCCUGGGCACGGGCCCCACCCCAGGAUCAUCCCAGGUAUCAGAGCGGGGCAGGAGGAGAAUCACAAGGUCUGGCAGCUGCCCAGCUGUCCCUGAGCCAAAGGGACCAGCAGGAUGCCCAGGGUGCACUCCUGCCGUGCCCUGCUGGGCUGCAGGCCACCCUGGAGCACUCGGGGACCAGAGGGAGGCUGUGCUGCUUGAGCCAGUGCCCCUGAGCUCAGCUCCUAAAAAACCUGCAGCCCACAGUGCCUGAUGUGCAGCACAGCCACAGUUCCUCCCUCCUGUUUUCUGUGACCUCUUUGCAAAGCAGCUUUUGGUUCACAUCCUCUCCAGAUCUGCUGGCUACGGCAAAAUGAAAUUGGCUCUGCACAAGCUCCCCAGCUCCACACACCCUCCCUGCAGAGGAGACGGGCAGGGCUAAACCUGUGGUGUGCUGGUUGUGCUGUCAGCGAGGCAAAGCUCACCUGGGGGAUGCUCCAAUCCUUCAGCCUGUGCACUCCCCCCUCGCAGCUCGGCUCCCCCUGGGGAUGCGCUCUGCUUUGAGUGGGGAGUGCCAGUUCUUUAGCAGCUCCACGGGAGACAGCUGGCAAAGUGCAGGAGACCCCAGGCUGGACCCCACGCCCAGCCAGGGUCUCCCUCCUGCACGGGGAGGUAAAGCUGGCCCUGGCUGGGAGCUGGGAUGGAGUCACUGGGGACUGACACCUCACUGGGUGCCAAACUUGUGCUGAAACAUGGUGGGGGUCAGGCUUGGCCACCUCCGACCCACUGGCAGCUGCUGGGAGCAUCCCCAGGCUGGACCACGGCACUGGGUGUCCUUCCUUGUCGGAAUCUGAGGUAUUGAUGAUUCUGAGAUUGUAGAAAGUCUCUGUCUUUCUGCCCCGUUGCCAAAGAAGAAGCCAUAAUUCGUCUGUGCUGGUUUCAAGGUUGUUUAUUCUGUUUAUCUCUAACAUGUUCUGCUGCCCUGCCGCAGCUCUGUCCUGCAGGGCAGCGUGUGGGGCUCUGCCCUCAGUGGGAUGUUACAAACAUUAAAUACCACAAACUACCUGUGCUGCAUUUACAAUAACGUGCCAAUAUCUGUCACCUACGUUGAACAGUGUGUCCCCAGCCUAAACCAACAGAAAAAUGCCAACACCACAGUGAAACAUGGAGGGCAUGAAGAAGGAGAAAAAGGACAAGGCACACCCAAUUUCCUCCAUCUUGUCCCCUCUGAACCCCUAAUCUAGAAACCAAAAAUUUUACUUUUGCACCCGUGUCACACUUAAUUAUUACUCUUAUCAAACACUCAAAGCUUGUAAUUCAUCCUGUAAGAUUGAAAACUCUUUUCCAUGGACAGAGAUCACAGACAGUGUCUCUGGGGGCUCUGUCCAGGGGUGUUCCUGACCCCUGCCAGGGUCCCAGACCUGCCAGGGCAGCCAGAGGGAAGCCCUGGAUUCCCACACAAAGAGGGAAAUCUGCCCCUGAGCCUUGCUGCAACGUGUCCUGAUGGGGGGGACCCUGCAGAGAGGCAGGUGCUGUGCCAAGGGAAGGCAGGAGACUGGCAGAGCCAGCCCUCACAGGCAGAGUGUGCUGGGAGCUGCAGCCAUCACCCCGCCGUGUCUGGGGGUGCAGCCUUGUCUGCAGUUCCUUUCCUUGGACAAUCUUUGCCAUGAUAACAGCUUGGUUUUAACUCUGGAACCUACUGAUGAUGGCAACCAGAAUCAGCUUCUGGUCUGCCCCACUAUUUCUCUGAAUGAUUCUCAUGCCCAGAAAUCCUAGGCAAGGCUGGGGAGGACAGCAGGAAACAUGUGCUGGUGGUUCACUGUGUGGACAACCCUGGAAAGCAAGGCAUGAGGCUGGGUUUAAUGCACCCCACAGAGCUUGCCACAUCCCAUUCCCUGUCUGCAGGAACAACCAUGGUGCUCCUCACUGAUGUUGGGAUGUUUAUGGCCAACAUUGUGGGAAAAAGCCUGGGAGAGUUGGGUGACCUGCACCCGGCUGUGGUGACAGAACUGCUCCCCCUGUCCCAAACCCUGUCCAAACUCUGUCCCUGCUCUGCUGGAUUUGGGUUUACCCCUUCCCUGCCCGUGCUGAGAUGCAGAACCAGCCUCCUGUAGACCCCAAUAUUAAUCUGUGGGUUUCAGAGAGCUGCAGGAGCAGAGAGAGCCGCAGCGGGAGCGCUGGGAAGCAGACGGCGCUGCUGCGUGGAAAUCUAUGCCCAACUGCUCCAUAUCAUAUCAUCCAGCAUAUGUCUAGAGACAGGCCAGCAAAUUCAGACCUGAAAAUGGGUAUAAUUGCCAGGCAGGACUUUGAGAUUGAAAGAGCUUCAAAGAAAACACAGUUCCUGUGUGCUGAGAGCAGCGUGGUGGCUCUCUGGAGUUGGGUUUAGUGGGACAGACCCUCCCCUUGCACAUUACUUUAGUCCUGGCAGAGCCUGAAGGUCAAACUUGGCUCACUCACCUGCACCACUUCAGUGUUUGCUGGUUUGGCUCAACACCAGAGCUUGCUGGUCUGAGCACAAUACACAGGAUCAGAGAAUCGUGGAAUAUCCUGAGCUGGAAGGGGCCCAUAAGGACUAUUGGGUCCAUCUCCUGGCCCUGCACAGGACAGCCCAUGAAUCACACCAUGAUUCUUCUAUAUUUCCAUCCAUUUUUUCCAUAUAGCUCUUUUUGCCUUUUCCUACUCUCUCUGCAGCUUAGUUUUCCCAAUCAUUGCCCAGAAACUGCCCUGGAACAGUGGAAAAUGCUGUUGCCAUCAAAUUUUACCAUGGCAUGUGGCCUGGAGCUCGAAGGGAGUCCCCCCAGUCACAGUGACAGAUUCCCUGGAGAACCCUCCUGGCUGCCAGCACAGGUCCUCAGGCAGCAAUGCCACCCCCCUCUGCUGUCACACACUCUUGUCCCCGUGGUGGGCACCACCCAAGCCUGCCAGCAGCUUGGGGGUGGCAUUUGGUGGCCUGAAUGGCUUGUGUGGGCUUCAGAAGUGACCUGAAUUGUGGUGUGAGCUCCCCAAGGGGUGCCAGGCUGGCUCUGUCCCUCUGGUAACACAGGCACCCUCACAGGGCUCCUGCCAGCACCUCUUGCAACAACAGCAGAGCGAUGCCUGGACAUGCCCCAGGAUGGAAUCACAUCCCUCUGUGGGAAAGUCAAUCCCAGAGGGAGUGGGAAACCUCAUCCCAGCUUCCCUCCGCACCUCCCACCCCAUUUUCUCUGUGGGAUCUCCUCUCACAUCCCACCCUAAGCUCUCCUGGCAGUACCACCAGCAUCACCUCCCCAGUGCCAGCCUCCCAUCCCUCACCCCCAGCACGGUGGGGAGCCUCGGGGCUCUCCCUUGCUCUCCUUCUCUUCCAGGAGCCAGGUGAAACAAACCCAGGAGUUUUUAGGAUCUGUGCUGGCAGAACACAGCGAGCAGAUGGUGCCCUAAAAUCCCCGCGCCCCCAAGAGCGAGCCAGUGAUCAUUUGUGAAGCUCUUGAGAUCUAUUUUUUUUUUUUUUCCCAGAGCCUGCUGAGCCUGGCGAGGAGCUAAUUGCAGCCUGGACUGGCUGGAGAGGGCAAUACCCGGAUGGGCUCCUCGCCUUUCAGGCUGUAAUGGAGCCUGGCCAUACAAAGCACAAAGCUCCUUCCCUUCCUGUUUGCCCGGCUCCCUCCGCCAAACCUUCCCCUGCCUGCGCUCAGAGAUGUAAAUACCAGGGCACGGGAGAAUUGCUCCCUCGUGCCUGCGUCACGUCUGAAAUACCCAUUAAAAAUACACGUUCCUAAAAGAGCACCUCUGCACCGAGCACAGACUCUCCUGGCAGCGGGGGCUGCUGGCAGGGAGCGGAUCAGAGGGAGGGGGACAGGGGACAGGGGACAGGGGACAGGGGACAGGGGACAGGGGACAGGGCACAGGGAGGGGGGACAGGGCUGUCCCAGGGAAAUGGCAGCGGGGCUGGGCAGGAUGGAUGGGAGGAUCUGGGGAUGCCUGGCAGGCUCGCAGGAGGGGGUUCAGCAGCGGGGUCCGCAGUGCUGAGCUGUGCUGAGCCUGGGGAGGGAUGUGGGGAGCCAAGGGAGGGGUGGGAGAAGGGGGAAAGGGCUGCAGGAACAUGCAGCAAUGAGCAGGUUUAAUGAAGAGCCUUGAGGACAUCCAUCUCUCCCAGCAGCAGCGGGAUGGGGCUCCGCUGGCAUCACCUCCCUGCCCCUGUCUGUGAGGUCCUGUCCCAGUUCAGGGCAUGGUGUGACCGGUGGGGAGAGCAGGGGGUUCACACACGUCCUCCUGGCUGCUCCUCUGCCUCCUGGCCUUGGGGCCCGGGAAGAUAAUCACACAUACAUUUUGUCGCAAAAUCUCCCCUUCAGUGAGGUAGGGGACAAUAAUUUGUCCCAGAGACCCCAUGUGAUGAAGGAGCUUUUCUGGGCAAGCUGACAGGGCUUGGAGGGUCUGGGAGGUGAGGGCUGGUGAUGCCUCGGGUGCUGGUCUCCUCCAGGAACAGCCCUGGGGAUGUGCCCGGGGCUGGGGGAGCCACAGGGCUCUCAGGCUGGGCACUGGGAUCUCUCACAGCUCCAGCCGGUGAGAAAGGACAACCCACAGAGACAUUUUCUUCUUCUUCAAAGGAAUUCAGUGUUUGGCUGGAGCGUUCAAAGGAGAUUUUAAAAGAGAAGAUAAAAAAGAAAGUUAAAAGCUACCCAGUGAGGGGUGGAAGCGGGAACGUGGGGAGAGAUCAGGGGCAGCGCCGGCAGCAAAGCAAUGGCAGGACACCGAGAGAGGAUGAGGAGAGCCUUCAUCCCACAGCUGCCCAGCCAGGGCACUGAUUCCCAUCCUCCAGCACCUGCAUCUGCUGUGGUCAUCUGCAGGCUGGGUCUUGAGCCCCGGGGAGCAGCAGGGCUGGGGGGAGCAGGGAGCCGGCCUGGGGCAGGGGGACCAGCAGCGUGGGAGGGGUGGGAUGGAGCAGGGACGCCAGCAAGACACCGGGAGGGAAAAUGUUAAUCAACUGCAGUGCCUCCCUGAAAGGAGCCAAAUGUAAAUGAGAUAAUUAAGCUAUUAUUUAAAGCCGGGAGACGGUGGGGACAGGCCCGGGGUGGCCGGACUGCAUUUUAAUCAGCUGCCUGGCUGGGGCUGGGGAGCCCGUGCUGGUGGUGCCCCUGCCUCUGAUUCCCUGCUUCUGCAUCCCUGCCUCUGCAUCCCUGCCUCUGCAUCCCUGCCUCUGAUUCCCUGCCUCUGCAUCCCUGCCUUGGCUGCCGGGCUUAUGGAACAGCCCCUCUGUGAGCCACCCUCAAGCCCUGUCCCCACUGCCCAGCCACUGCCAUCCCGUGUCCCCAGCUGUCCUGCCAGGUCAGGGCACAAGGGGUUCACGUGUGGGGGUAUCUACACCCGUGUCACCACCUUUCUGUGGGGUUUUGUUUAGGCUGCAGGAGCCCUUCCUGUGCCUCAGUUUACCUGCUUUCGCUGUUUUGGAUAUUAAAAGUUUGUAAUAAGAAUUAACAGUGCUGGUGAGGAUAAAUCCACCCGAGGAAAAGCAGAAUUUAAAUGCUCCAGUGGUGCUGGCCAGACUUGUUUUUGGGAGCCUUUUUAAACCAUCUUGUUACCAGGUGACCAGAAGAAGUCUAAGCAAUUGCCCUGGGGCUCACUUUCCCCACCUCUGGAAGCAGCACUGAGGUUCAGGGAUGCUCUCAGCACAGUGGGGAGCUCCAAGGUCACUUGUGAACUGCCGUGAGCCAGCAAAUGGGGCAGAACAGAAUUUUCUUCCUGCAUUUCUUUGUUUUGGUCAGUGAUGGAAAAGAAAACAAUGUCCAAAGCCAUCCACGACCAGGGGUGUAAAGUGAUUUUCUUCCGUGUCAUCGGGACCAUCCUUGCUGGUGGUGGCAGAUCUGACUCCUGGAAGCAGAGACUUCUGAGCAGCAGGGAGAAGACGGGUGGUUGUUCACUCCUUUUCUCAUGUAUCAGCUGGGAUCUUGGUGGAACACAGUUAGUAGGGGCCAGGUUCAAAGGAAACCUGAGAAGAUAUCUGUUCCAUGGAGCAUCCUUAAGGAGAGCUGCAGGGGGAGUGGGUGCUCCCAAUUCCUACAGGAGGUGUGAGAGUUCAAAGACACGAGGAAAAAGCCCAUGGAGAGCUCUUAAGGAGAAAGGCAGCACCUCUCUAGCUCAGAAAACUAUGCCCCAUGAAGGUCUGGAGAUCAGGAGAGCAAGCAAAUGUUACACAUGCCAACCACAUUUGUAAUGGUUCCCCAGGCACCUGGCACCGAUGGAAAAGGGAGAGCAGGUUAGAUGGAUGCCUCGUGCAUCUCUACAACACAGCCCUUAUCUUUCGAGAGGCUUUCUUACUGUAUGCUUAAAUGGUAAAUUAAAAGCCUGAUCCAGAGUGA
ensembl:lncRNA